AACAAAUUGGUCAUGGAGCCAGGACAGAGCGUGUUGAAAGGAUGACUGCCAGAACAAUAAUCGCCAGUUGCUGACAUCACAGUCUUUCUGAAACUUUACUGUUC